rnacentral:rRNA from 1 species
CCUACGGGAGGCAGCAGUGGGGAAUAUUGGGCAAUGGGCGCAAGCCUGACCCAGCAAAGCCGCGUGAAGGAAGAAUGCUUUCGGGUUGUAAACUUCUUUUCUCAGGGACGAAGAAAGUGACGGUACCUGAGGAAUAAGCAACGUCUAACUACGUGCCAGCAGCCGAGGUAAUACGUAGGUGGCAAGCGUUAUCCGGAUUUACUGGGUGUAAAGGGCGUGUAGGCGGGAAAGCAAGUCAGAUGUGAAAACCAUGGGCUCAACCUGUGGCCUGCAUUUGAAACUGUUUUUCUUGAGUACUGGUGAGGCAGACGGAAUUCCUAGUGUAGCGGUGAAAUGCGUAGAUAUUAGGAAGAACACCAGUGGCGAAGGCGGUCUGCUGGACAGCAACUGACGCUGAGGCGCGAAAGCGUGGGGAGCAAACAGGAUUAGAUACCCUUGUAGUC